GAUGAAGAACGUAGCGAAAUGCGAUGAGUAAUGUGAAUUGCAGAAUUCAGUGAAUCAUCGAAUCUUUGAACGCACAUUGCGCCUGCCAGUAUUCUGGCGGGCAUGCCUGUUCGAGCGUCAUUUCAACCAUCAAGCCCCCGGCUUGUGUUGGGGACCUGCGGCUGCCGCAGGCCCUGAAAACCAGUGGCGGGCUCGCUAGUCACUCCGAGCGUAGUAAUACAUCUCGCUCAGGGCGUGCUGCGGGUUCCGGCCGUUAAAAAGCCUUAUUUACCCAAGGUUGACCUCGGAUCAGGUAGGAAGACCCGCUGAACUUAAGCAUAUCAAUAAGCGGAGGA
rnacentral:misc_RNA from 1 species